UCCAGUUUCUAGAUCAGAUAUAAAGCUGCCAUGGACUGGAGCUCCUGAUUUCCUUGUUGAGGCAUCUGCAGGAGAUGGUGUGGAGUGAAAAUGAUGGUUCCAGCAAUGGAUUGUUAAAGGAAACUAAAGAUGGUGGUUCUUGUGGCAUUGGCAAAAAUCUUCAUCUGUCUCAAGAUUUUAAUCAGACCUGGAAAUGUUUACUGAGAGACGAUGGAAAGGCAGCAACAAUCCAUUUAGGAUUUUUCUUAGUGUCUUCACUUUCCUCACCUUUGCUGAUGGCUUUGAAGGCCUAUCCUUGAGAGAUAAAUUCUGCCACAAGAAGUUGCCGCUGAUGAAGUUGCCCAAGUGAUGUUGUGGGACAAGCAACUGAAAGGCGCAAGACACUGAGUAGAUUCCCUUUUCCUCGCUCCAGACAACUUGCAAGUUUUGAACCCUGUUUGCCAACAUUGACUAUUCAAGUGCAGCAGACAGAAAUUAAAAAAAAACCCAUUGCCAUUGUCUCCAGAAGAACAAAUAAAUGAUCUGAUCAUGUCUUUAAACCCCCUUGAUGCUGAAAGCAGUGGGACCACCAAUUUCAACCGGAAGCCAGCCAAGUCACCAACCUUCAAGAGCCAUAUACCUCUUUAAUUUUACUGGGCUCUAAAUUGCUUAAUCUACUCUCCCACUCUGUAAUCUAUUUGUGCAUGUACAUGUGAGGUCUUCAAGUGUGUGUGUGUGUGAAAGUCGGAGAGUUUUUUUACCAUUUUACUUAGACUGGGCUUAGUCCAUUAAAAGUAUCCUCUUUU